rnacentral:rRNA from 1 species
AUUGAACGCUGGCGGCAGGCCUAACACAUGCAAGUCGAGCGGAUGAAGGGAGCUUGCUCCUGGAUUCAGCGGCGGACGGGUGAGUAAUGCCUAGGAAUCUGCCUGGUAGUGGGGGAUAACGUCCGGAAACGGGCGCUAAUACCGCAUACGUCCUGAGGGAGAAAGUGGGGGAUCUUCGGACCUCACGCUAUCAGAUGAGCCUAGGUCGGAUUAGCUAGUUGGUGGGGUAAAGGCCUACCAAGGCGACGAUCCGUAACUGGUCUGAGAGGAUGAUCAGUCACAGGGGAACAGAGACAGGGCCCAGACUCCUACGGGAGGAGCCAGGGGGAAAUUUUGAACAAGGGGGAAAAGCUUGACCCAGCCAGGCGGGGUGGGUGAAGAAGUUUUUGGAAUUUUAAGACUUUUUAAGUUGGGAGAAAGGGAAAUAAUUUAAUCCCUUCUUUUUUUCGCUUUACCAAAAAAAAAACCCCCGCCUAACUUCGUG